rnacentral:lncRNA from 1 species
UUUUUGGAAUCCUACAACACACACUCCCAUUCUGAAGAUAAUGAGAGAGAAUUAAAAUCGAUGUGAAAAGACUUUUCUCCUUUCCAUCAGGAUAUGGGAACUUGCCUUCACUAACUCUUUUUUUGCUUCAUCCAGCCUCCCGGUGCCUGGCAUCCACAUCAGUAUUUACACACUUCAUCAUUCCUCAGGUGAUUUAUUUUCCUUGGUCCAUUUUGCCCAGUGACUAAGUUUCGAAGCACGGAAGUUGACAAGAUUUGUCGCUGAUAUCAAUCUUCAUGAAGUUUACCGAAAUGAGCAAAAUCUCCCACUCUGCUCCCCAGCUGCUAUCACCAAGAGAUGAAGAAGGGACGAUCCUCAAGGUCCCUUCACCAUCCCCGGGGCCUGAAUCCCAGCGACUGACCUCUGAUGUGCAGCCAGCCGCUCACAGAGAGCUGGGGCCCUGUUGAGAAAGCCUCAUGCUAUGGGUCUCCUGAAACUGAAGACACAUGGACGGCAGCAGGAAGUUGAUUGUGUCUUGUUCUGCGUGUGUGUGAUGAGCAAGGGCUCUAGGAAGAGGCCAAGUCCCUGACUCCCCUGCUUGCUAACUGUGUGUUCUUUGACAGAACUGCACUCUGCCUCUGUUUCCUCACCAGCAACAUGGGGAAUAGUUUCUACCUGUUUUAUCAGUCUGGGUUCUUAUAACAAAACACCAUAGGGUGGGUGGCUUAAACAACAGACACCUAUUUCUCACAGUUCUGGAGGCUGGAAGUCUAAUAUCAGGGGGCCAACAUGGUCGGGGUCUGGGGACACCCUCUUGCUGGUUUGUAUACAGCUGCCUUCUAACUGUGUCUUCUCAUGGUAGAGAGCAGAGAAAGAGAGAAGAAGCAAGAAGCUCUCUUAACUCUAUUCUUAUAAGGGCACUAAUUCUAUCCUGAGGGCUCCACCCUUAUAACUUAAUUACGUCCAAAGACCUCACUCCCUCACAUUAUCCCAUUAGGAGUCAGGGUUUCAAAAUAUGAGUUUUGGUGGGAACACAAAUAUUCAAUCUAUAACACUACCUCAUGCAGUUGUUAUAUAAUUAG